rnacentral:rRNA from 1 species
UACGUAGGGUGCAAGCGUUGUCCGGAAUUAUUGGGCGUAAAGAGCUCGUAGGCGGCUCGUCACGUCGGCUGUGAAAACCCGGGGCUCAACCCCGGGCCUGCAGUCGAUACGGGCGAGCUAGAGUUCGGCAGGGGAGACUGGAAUUCCUGGUGUAGCGGUGAAAUGCGCAGAUAUCAGGAGGAACACCGGUGGCGAAGGCGGGUCUCUGGGCCGAUACCGACGCUGAGGAGCGAAAGCGUGGGGAGCGAACAGGA